rnacentral:lncRNA from 10 species
GUCCUUCCCCAGUCUCUGCCCCACCUGCCUUCUCGGCAGGGCUGUCUGCACGGCUCUGCCCGGGCUUCAGGCUCCAGGCUUCUGUCAAGGGGGUGGAGGACUCCUGACUGCAGGAUAGACACAGGCAGCUAUGGGCAGCUCACUGGAGUUAGGAGCUCACCGGCCUCACCCAAGCUCGCAGCAUUGUGCCGGGAAAGGAUGUUCUCGGCUCCGGCCUUUUUCCUCCUCUCCUGGGGACAGAACAUGGAUCCUGGAAGGCAUUGAGGACCCUGUGCUCAGCCCCUGCCCAUCCCUUCCACCACUUAUCUGUCCUGUAGGCACACUGACGCGGCUUUCACAAAAUGGGAGGCUCUGAGAGAGGCCCCAGAGGCUGCCUUGUCCUUUCCACCUCAUGGGACACAGCAAGAAGGAGCCGUCUGUGAACCAGGAAGCAGGCCCUCACCAAACCUGCUGCCAUCUUGAUUUUGGACUUCCAGCUUCCAGAGCUGUAAUAAAGAAACUUCUGUUGUUUAUAA